rnacentral:lncRNA from 12 species
AUAUCAAAUAUGAAUAGGGUUAGAAAUUAAAUAUUAAAAAUAGGUAUAAGUUUUCUGUAUUUAAAGGGAAUUUUUUUUGUUUUUAUUUGGUUAUGGGCAGGGAGUUUUUUAGUUGUGGUCGGGCUCUUUUUGGGGCAUUUUGUAGGAUUGAGACUCUCCUUUUUGGCCCGGGAGCUCGGGGCUGGCCCCAGCCUGGGGCCUCUCCUGCAGAGAUUCAGCUGUGGGGAAGCUGCAGAGAAGGCUGCCCGGCACAGCCCUCCAAAAUGGGCCUCCCCUGACUGGGCUCCCGCAGAGGAUGGGGCAGUUGCAGCCCCCUGUCAUUCCCGUGAAAUUUGGUAAGUCUGAGG